AUUUGUUUGUGACACCAAACCUAUUUAUGGCAUUAAACUAAUAUGUCAAAAUAAAAUACAACAGCACAGAGAAGAGUGUUUCAAUCACGUGACCAGUGGUGAUAUUGGGUAAGUUAGACAUCAUUUUAAAAUUUUAAAAUAAAUUAAAAAGCCAUGAAAUUUGUUCUCCUGGGAUUAUUCCAAACUCCGACAUGGCUUCAAUUUCUUUUUUAGGGGGAAAAUGAGAAAGAAAUCGAAUUUUUAGGUGCCGUAGAUCUUGAGGCUGUCACUAUAACCGACAAAGUAAUCGUUGAAAAAGCCGACAGAACCACCGAAGUAA